AAAAAGGCAAACCCUGGGUUUCCGUGCCAACGUUUAACUGUCCGUCUUAUAUGAAAUUUUUUUAUAAUUAGUAUUUUCAUUGUUGUUAGAUGAUAAAACAUGAUUAAUACUUUAUGCGUGACUUAUCUUUUUAAUUUUUUUUAUAAUUUUUUCAAAUAAGACGGACGGUCAAACGUUGGACACGGAAAUC
rnacentral:pre_miRNA from 1 species